AGAACACGAAGUUAAAAGAGAAUGAAGAUUGAUCCAGGGACUGAGAAGUUGAAACAUAAUCAGAGUUGGACAGGACUGGAUACUACCAACUUGAUCAAGUUAGAAGUCAUGAGCUUGAAUUCCAGCUCUGCUUGUUAGCCAGUCUCAUUAAUCUUCAGACCAACAGCAGCUCUGAGAAGUAGAGAUAAAGAAACAGAGACUUCAUGGGUCCCCUACCCAGCAUGUUCUGACUCUGCCUGGAACGCUCGUUGCUGCCCUGCUGCUCUGUGACGAGAUCAUCAGUGUCAGAGAUGAGUUUCUCUUGUCCUUCAUUUGAAAGUUGUCUGCAACCACAACCUCUGAAAUCCUUCUUGGGAGCCUUCAGGUCUGUUCGGAUUAUUUACCUUGUUGCAGCAUUUCUAACCAUUUUGGCUCUGUUAUCCAGCCCAGCAUUACUUCUAAGGUCCAUCAGUUUCUGGCCCUGAGUCACUGAAGCUCUUAUUUCCCAUCACAGAAUUCUAAGAAUGUGCUCGGCAUGAGAGGCAUCGUGCAAGCUAAGGCUGCAACCAUCAGUAAUUUUACCAAGUUAAGUUUCCCAGGGCAGGUGUCAGCAGUCUUACU